AUGCACUUUCUUCCCCGUCUUCCACUCUUCUUCCUCCUCUCUUCUUCUUCCUCCUCUCUUUUUCUUCCUCCUCUCUUCCCCAUUGUCGGCCGCACACCAUUUACCCCCGCUCACUGCUCGCCCGCCUGCGCCAUCUUCCUUGUACCAUAUAACUGGAAUUACCGAUGCAAGUCGAAGAAGGAUUGGCCGGUGCUGCCGGCUGGCGUCAAGUUUGAUCCCACAGAUCAGGAGCUGAUCAAGCACCUUGAGGCCAAAGUGAGUGCUGACAGCGCGAGAUUUCAGUCUCUCAUCAAUUUGUUCAUACCAACCAUCGACAGCGAGCACGACAUAUGCUACACCCAACCUGAGAAACUUCCAGGUAUCACACUGAGUGGCCUAAGGAAGCAUUUCUUCCAGCGCAAUUCCAGGGCAUUCAAAAGGGGCACAUGGACGCGUCGCAAGAUACAGUCGGAGUGCGGCAUGCACACGAUGUGGCACAAGACCGGCAAUACCUUGCCGGUGAUGGUCAACGGCCGGCAGACGGGCAGCAAAAAAGGUUGCACACCAACAAGAACUUCGACCAGCAGAGGACCAACUGGGCGAUGCACCAGUACCACCUCGGGGACCUGGAGCAAGAGAAGGAGCGGGAGCUGGUCGAGCAAGUUUCAACUGGGCUGUAGACUGCCCAGGUUGGUUUUGUUUUUAACAGGCCCAGCCCAUGACGACAACGGGGCACAAAGAUCCAGCAGGUAUCUACUGGCCUCUAGCCCGCCAGCGUUAGUAUAUUGA
rnacentral:rRNA from 1 species